rnacentral:rRNA from 1 species
AGCGAACGCUGGCGGCAGGCCUAACACAUGCAAGUCGAACGGACCCUUCGGGGUUAGUGGCGGACGGGUGAGUAACACGUGGGAACGUGCCUUUAGGUUCGGAAUAAGCCCGGGAAACUGGGUCUAAUACCGAAUGUGCCCUUCGGGGGAAAGAUUUAUCGCCUUUAGAGCGGCCCGCGUCUGAUUAGCUAGUUGGUGAGGUAAAGGCUCACCAAGGCGACGAUCAGUAGCUGGUCUGAGAGGAUGAUCAGCCACACUGGGACUGAGACACGGCCCAGACUCCUACGGGAGGCAGCAGUGGGGAAUCUUGCGCAAUGGGCGAAAGCCUGACGCAGCCAUGCCGCGUGAAUGAUGAAGGUCUUAGGAUUGUAAAAUUCUUUCACCGGGGACGAUAAUGACGGUACCCGGAGAAGAAGCCCCGGCUAACUUCGUGCCAGCCGCCGCCGUAAAAC